rnacentral:rRNA from 1 species
UACGUAGGGGGCGAGCGUUGUCCGGAUUUAUUGGGCGUAAAGAGCGUGUAGGCGGUUCGGUAAGUCUGUCGUGAAAUCCUGAGGCUCAACCUCGGGCGUGCGAUGGAUACUGCCGGGCUAGAGGAUGGUAGAGGCGAGUGGAAUUCCUGGUGUAGCGGUGAAAUGCGCAGAUAUCAGGAGGAACACCGGUGGCGAAGGCGGGUCUCUGGGCCGAUACUGACGCUGAGGAGCGAAAGCGUGGGGAGCGAACAGG